ensembl:lncRNA
AACUACUAACGAAUCCCCCUCCCCACAUCCUAUUCAGUUCUCCACUUUCAUACUCACCAAGCCUUCCUGAGUCAGCUGGGAAUGGUGUGCUGCUUCUGUGUGGGACACAGGAGCUCUCCCCACGACUGAGUGGUGGGGAGAAUCUCCUCCCCAACCUCCAUCCAGGCUCCAGAUUACACCAUGGGACAGAAGUGCCUGCGAACCAGCUGCCAGCGGUGCCGGCGGCGCUCCAUCUCCCCGAGACUGGAUCCCAGAGGCCCUAUCCGCAAGGCGGGAGCUACUCCUCAAGGCAGGACUGGGCAGAGGCUAGUCCGCUCUCUGGCCCUCUUCACUCAUUUCUCUUUCCUAUGCAGCACUGCGGGGAUGAUCAUGGGAGGGAGGCAGGAAAAAGAGCACCCUUCCCGCCCCCAGAUGUUAACCUUUUAUAGCCGCACCAGGCAGCGGGGAGGGAGUAGAACUGCACUCGGGAGAGACAUACACCAAAUAUGAGGGGGCAGCCUGAGAGCUAUUUUGGGGGAAAUCAUAGCAGGACCCCAGCUGGGGAGAGGUGGUCAGCACAGGGAUCACAGCAGGACCCUAGCCAAGGGGGAAGGGGAAAUCAGCACAGGGAACCACAGCAGGACCCCAGCAGGGGUGAGGGGGGCAAGUCUGCACACGGAAUCGCAGCAGGACCCCAGCUGGAGGGGACAAGGGAGUGGGGGAAAUCAGCACAGGACCAGCUGGCUCAGCACAGGGCUCACAGCAGGACCCCGGCUAGGCCUCUCUCUGCCACGACUCCCACGAGUUAAACGCGGUGGAGUUUUCCUAGCACUCCAGCUAGAGCCAGGGCCGGAAACCGAGAGGCAGGAAAACAAAAACCAAACCAAAACCUUUGCCAGCAGCGCCCGAGUUCACUGCCUGGGUGACUCCCCUCCGCAGCUGGGGUGCCCCCGCCCCCCUUCUCCCCUCUCUUCUCCCUCCAGUGACCCAGCUGUGCAAGCUGAGAGAGCCCGGGGAGCAGGCCCUGCGCAUACCAGGGCACCCAAGCAAAAAAACAUGCUAACCACGGAACUGCUGGCUAUAAAAGUCCCUAGGCUGGGGACUCAGCCCCCAGGCUGGGGACUCAGCCCCCAGGGCCAGUCAGUCCUGGAUGUUCUUCAAACCAUGGACCAGACACAAAUCUGGAGGACCCAUGUUCUGCUGAGAACCAGACUGAAAUUCACCGUCCACCUUCGCUCCACCCUAGCCUCCUAGUCCAAGCCUGGCUGUGUGCAUAACUAGGGCACGUGAGAUGUGUAUUCAUUCUAUCCAUGCAUGUCACUCACAGGCCCUGGAAAGCCAGGAUGGGUUUUGAAAGCCCAACCUUGUAGAGAAGGAACUGGGCUGGGUUCAGUUCCUGCCUGUAGACUCCACAUGUGACCUUGGGCAAGUCAUUUAGGCCAAGAAUUUCAGAAGUGUCCAGUGAUUUUGGGUACCCUAACUUCAGACAACUUACAAGGGGCCUGAUUAUCAGAUAGGUCCAGAGCACCCACCUCUGGAAGUCAGGCACCUUCCAGGCAUCUCAAGUUGAGGCAAUCAAAAAUCAUUAAGCAUUUGGGUCUUAAUCUCUCUGUCUCUCAGCCUCCUACCUGUAAUGGGGGGAUAAUAAUACCUCCUCUUUCCCACCUUGUCUCAACAAACCAAGUU